CAUGUCUUUUUGAUUAUAAUUUAAAGUCUGGCCUGCCCUAUGAAUUAUUUUUAAAUGGCUGCGGUAUUUUGACCGUACAAAGGUAGCAUAAUAAUUAGUUUUUUAAUUGGGAACUGGUAUGAAUGGUCGAACGAGAAAAAGACUGUCUCAAUUUAAAUUAAAUUAGAAUUUUAUUUUUAAGUAAAAAAGCUUAAAUGUAUUUAAAAGACGAGAAGACCCUAUAGAGUUUUAUAUAAUUAUUUUUUAUUUGAAAGUUAAAGUAUUAUAAAUUUAUUUAAUUAAUUUUUUAUUUGGUUGGGGUGAUUAAAAAAUUUAAUAAACUUUUUUUAUAUAAAUUCAUUGAUAUAUGUUUAUGUGAUCCAAUAUUUUUGAUUAUAAGAUUAAAUUACCUUAGGGAUAACAGCGUAAUUUUUUUUUAGAGUUCUUAUCGAAAAAAAAGUUUGCGACC
rnacentral:rRNA from 1 species